UUCCUAUCUGUAAUGCUGCACAAUUGCGUUGUAUCGGAAGAAUACAGCGAUCGGAAUUACUUAAUGUUAAAACAUCUUCUUGUAAUUGCCUCGUUAAUUGCAACCAAGUCUCCUAUUUAUCGGAGGAAAUUAAAAUAACGAGAUUCAAAAACGUAUUUCCCUUGAACACCACAAGUUUCAAAAUGACAAUCAGUUUUUCGAAAAACAAAUUUAAACGUAAGGAAUGGUACACUUUUGGAGACUUCCUAAGUACGUUUAAAAAGCUUAUAAAUUCCUUUGCUUUCUUCAUAAUUUCAAUUUUU